CUGCCUUUUGCCUCAUAUAAGGCAAAAGAAUUUUUUUUUUGCUUCCCAAGUGAUACAUCCUUCAAAAGAGAGGUUUUCUUGGGAAACUCCCUCAGUACAGACAGUAGACAAUAGGGUCCAUUUGAAGUACACAGCUGCCAUGGUCUGCUCCACUAAUGUCACAUUUGUCCAGGCAGCAGCAUCCUUCUGCCUAGGCUUUGUGUCGAAGAAAGACUUUUAUAAAUUCCCUUCUCUGCCAUGGAACAGUCUAAGGUAUGACAAAUGUUUUCUUGUGGACCAGUCCAGGCAGUGACAAGUCAAGAUGAUGGAAUAAUAUGCCACAACUGUACCCAUGGUAUUACACAUACCAGCAGUGAGUCUGGCAUGUCAGACUCAAUAUUUGUUUUUCACCAUUAUUCUCUCUCUCUCUCUCUCUCUCUCUCUCUCUCUCUCUCUCUCUCUCACUCACUCACUCACUCACUCACUCACUCGAAUUAAUUAACUGAACUUUAUAUUGCUUUAGGACUGACUUAAAAGUGACAAAAAAGUAUAGACCAGUGGUAUUCAGCUAAAGUUUUAUGAUAAACAUGACUAUAAAUAAACCAAUUCAAUUUAAACUGUUUAUGUUUUGUUUCACAGUGGUGCUUCAUGUUACUGCUAGUUAAGGAGCCUUGCUGUUCUGCAGCUUGUUGAUUCAACAUAAGGCAUCCUUAACGCUGUGAAAGUGAAUACCCUACAUAUGGUUGGUUUGUUCUGGGAUUCGGUGAAAUACAGCUCACAAAUUUACUGUGGUUGUGUCACUACAACUGAUAAGUAUUUUACUGUUAAAUGCUCUAGAUUUCCACCUUUACAAUAUUACUGCUUUUGACUAACAAAGCUCAGAGGCCUAUCACAGCUCUGAAUAUCCUACAAGUACAAAAAAAAAAUGGAAUCAGCGCAGAUAAAUGGUGCCCUACAAUGUGGGAAGGAGGAAGAAUGAGAAAUCAAACAGAUAUAGCAUGUAUUAAGCCUGCGGUUACUGUGCCCAUCCUCUCAACAUUCUCAAGGAUGAAAGUACACUUUACUUGCACAUAAAAUGAGUGUGAAUGAGUCCUCAGGCCCAAGGUGCAGUGCUGCAUCUCUGGUCAAUUGGGAGUCUGAGAUGAAGCACUGUAGCACGGGAAGAGGGACACUGCUACUGUAAACACACAUCAGCAUUUGUAUAAACUUUUUAUUAGCCAGAUUUAAUACGAAAAUGUAGAUUAAAUAUAUUUGUAGAAUGCAACUAUUGUAACUUUUUCAACACAUGAAAGAAGAUCAGUGCCCAGUAUAGAUAGGCAGUUGUGGCUCAAUAUUUCAGGACCUGAGUUAUGAAUCAGAUCAAAUUGUGAGUUUAAAUCCCAGCACUGCCAGUUGCUAUUGUUGAGCCCUUUAACAAAGCCCAUAACUUUAAUCUGUUUGGUUCAGUAAUUCACUUGGAUAAAAGAUUCUGUCAAAUGAAUAAAUGUAAAAUGCUUCAUAGAUAGUAUUUACCCUUUUGUGGUUUCCUUUUGUCUAAUAAACACUUUCUUCCCUGUCCUCGGGGUCCAGUUUUCCCAGGAAUCCCUUGGGAAAUUACAAAGGGGAUUCCUGGAAAUACUGUUCUUGGGGGUGGGGUUAGACAUCAUGAAUGUCAGUUGAAUUGUAUCAUAUAACAUUGUAAUUACUUGGCAAGUUUGUGAUUAAAAUGAGAUAAACAAUGUACAUACUACUGUAACAAAGUCUUCUUAAUAUUUUGUAUUCAGAAUAUUGCAAUUCAAACACUAACAAUGUAACAUACUUAAUAAAAUUGUGCUUGAUUCAAACUAUAAA